GGGCACCGUGCUGGCUUCACCGCUGAGGGCCGGAGCUCUGAGGGCCCGCGCUGAUUCCCACGGCGCUGAGGGAAAGCAGGGAACGUGCCAUCCCAAGCCCGGCACCUGCAUAAUCUUCAUUUCUGUCUAGUACUAGGGUACUAGUACUAGAUGGGACACCAAUGGAUGCAUGCCAGCAGUGUUGAAAUCCAUCAGCUGAAACAGAAUAAUUUUGGAAAGAUACCGCUGGAUCAGUUGUCCAAGGUUGCAGUCUUGAAAGUGAAGAACAUUGCACAAGCAAAAUUGGGAAUCUGUAUUCAUCCCUUCUCAGUGUGCAAAGAGGAAGAAAGGGCCUAUGCCUGAGCAGGAAGAGUCCAACACCAGUUCUUAAGACCCAGCAUCAGGACAGAUGGCCUCAGCUCACUCCAGCAACUCAGUUCAGCUGCUAUGAAAAAAUAAACACUAAGAAGCAUUCUUAUCACAGCAAUGAGACACAGCCAAGCCCUGGAAAGGAAAGGGAACCUGCCUCCUGGAGGACAAGAAGCAUUGUUCUGUCACAGUGAAUAGCACCAGCUGGGCUCUCAGAAGGCUUUCUACAGGCAGGCUGCUGGGAAGAAUUCACACUCUAAAUGCGCCUUGCAGUAAUUUACCCCAGACGCAAAUAAGU